ACCAUGGCCUGGAAACCCCACCUCCUCCUCAGCCUCCUUCGUCACUGCACAGGGUGUCUCUCCCAGCCUGUGCUGACUCAGCCGCCCUCUGCAUCUGCCUCUCUGGGAGCCUCAACAAAGCUCACCUGCACUCUGAGCAGUGGGUAUAGCAGCUAUGCUAUUGCAUGGCAACAGCAGCAGCCAGGGAAGGCCCCUCAGUACCUGAUGGAAGUUUACAGUGAUGGAAGCCAUAACAAGGGAGAUGGUAUCCCCAAUCGCUUCUCAGGCUCCAGCUCAGGGGCUGACCGCUACUUGACCAUCUCCAACGUCCAGUCUGAGGAUGAGGCUGAUUAUUACUGUCAGACCUGGGAUGGUAGUAGCCGUCACAGUGACACAAGCAGAUGA